GGCCCCAUCCGGCUCGGCCCGGCUCGGCCCACGGACGCGCGGGUUUCAUCUGCAAGUCUUCCAUUAGCAUACAUCCAACUACCUCAGAAGAGCGUCAUG